UGCAGUCGAACGGUAACAUUUCUAGCUUGCUAGAAGAUGACGAGUGGCGGACGGGUGAGUAAUGCUUGGGAACUUGCCUUUGCGAGGGGGAUAACAGUUGGAAACGACUGCUAAUACCGCAUAAUGUCUUCGGACCAAACGGGGCUUCGGCUCCGGCGCAAAGAGAGGCCCAAGUGAGAUUAGCUAGUUGGUAAGGUAACGGCUUACCAAGGCGACGAUCUCUAGCUGUUCUGAGAGGAAGAUCAGCCACGCUGGGACUGAGACACGGCCCAGACUCCUACGGGAGGCAGCAGUGGGGAAUAUUGCACAAUGGGGGGAACCCUGAUGCAGCCAUGCCGCGUGUGUGAAGAAGGCCUUCGGGUUGUAAAGCACUUUCAGUUGUGAGGAAAAGUUAGUAGUUAAUACCUGCUAGCCGUGACGUUAACAACAGAAGAAGCACCGGCUAACUCCGUGCAGCAGCCGCGGUAAUACGGAGGGUGCGAGCGUUAAUCGGAAUUACUGGGCGUAAAGCGCACGCAGGCGGUUUGUUAAGCUAGAUGUGAAAGCCCCGGGCUCAACCUGGGAUGGUCAUUUAGAACUGGCAGACUAGAGUCUUGGAGAGGGGAGUGGAAUUCCAGGUGUAGCGGUGAAAUGCGUAGAUAUCUGGAGGAACAUCAGUGGCGAAGGCGACUCCCUGGCCAAAGACUGACGCUCAUGUGCGAAAGUGUGGGUAGCGAACAGGAUUAGAUACCCUGGUAGUCCACACCGUAAACGCUGUCUACUAGCUGUGUGUGCCUUUAGGCGUGCGUAGCGAAGCUAACGCGCUAAGUAGA
rnacentral:rRNA from 1 species